CAUGCCUUUUCCCUUUUAUGUGAAAGUGAACCCAAGGAUCAUAAUGGCAAUUAAAUUCGGAGUUGACGUUAGAUUCUUGCGCUUAUAAGGCUGUAUAAAAAUCGAACUUCCCUUCAUGAGGUAAGGUCGAUCAGUUCUUCCUGAAUUGUGGUAUCACUACAUUGCAUCUCAGGAACAUCCAGACUUUAAGCCUUGUACGCAUAUAGCUUC